GUAGGUGGCAAGCGUUGUCCGGAAUUAUUGGGCGUAAAGCGCGCACAGGCGGUUCUUUAAGUCUGAUGUGAAAGCCCACGGCUCAACCGUGGAGGGUCAUUGGAAACUGGAGAACUUGAGUACAGAAGAGGAAAGCGGAAUUCCACGUGUAGCGGUGAAAUGCGUAGAGAUGUGGAGGAACACCAGUGGCGAAGGCGGCUUUCUGGUCUGUAACUGACGCUGAGGCGCGAAAGCGUGGGGAGCAAACAGGGAUUAGAUACCCUGGUAGUCCACGCCGUAAACGAUGAGUGCUAAGUGUUAGGGGGGUUUCCGCCCCCUUAGUGCUGCAGCUAACGCAUUAAGCACUCCGCCUGGGGAGUACGGCCGCAAGGCUG
rnacentral:rRNA from 1 species